ACUUUGAUCCAAGUGCCAAGGCUACCAGCUUAUUCUGUGAGGCAAAGAGUUAAAAGGACAAAAUAUUAGUAGAAAAGGGAUGAUCAGAUCUCCUCAACUAUGCAUUGUGUGGCAGGAUCCUCAGAUGAAACAUGGCAAGGACGAAAUAUUAAUAAUCAUUCUAUAUGGAAAAGCCAAGAGGUCACAGAGAGCCACAUCUUCUACUGAGACCAAGACUGAAAAUGUAAAAAAGAACCGAGAAUCUCUGUCUGCUCUGUGUUAACCGGGUAAUUCAACAAAAGUCAGUAUUUUCUCAUUA